rnacentral:rRNA from 1 species
UACGUAGGGUGCGAGCGUUAAUCGGAAUUACUGGGCGUAAAGCGUGCGCAGGCGGUUCGUUGUGUCUGUGGUGAAAGCCCCGGGCUUAACCUGGGAAUGGCCAUGGAAACUGGCGAGCUGGAGUGUGGCAGAGGGGGGUGGAAUUCCGCGUGUAGCAGUGAAAUGCGUAGAGAUGCGGAGGAACACCGAUGGCGAAGGCAGCCCCCUGGGUUGACACUGACGCUCAUGCACGAAAGCGUGGGGAGCAAACAGG